UGGGGCAAAUGAAAAUGAGUGCACUUC
rnacentral:piRNA from 1 species